rnacentral:lncRNA from 1 species
CAAAAAUUUGAUCAGGUGUGUAAUGAGUUGCUGAACAUCGGGGUGAAGAUGGAGGAGGAAGAUAAGUCGUUACUACUGCUAUGCUCGUUGCCCUGUUCCUCUGAUCCAUUGAUGAUGACGCUGCUCUACGGCAAGGAGAUCCUAGAGUAUGAAGACAUGAUCUCGAUGCUAGGGUCCAAUGAACAGCUGGAGGAGUUGACCAAAGAAGGUGCUCCCUCGGAGGGCUUGGCCGCAAGGGAGAGAUCAGGAAGAGGAAGAAAAAUAGGCAAGUCAAGGGGAUGGUCAAAG